rnacentral:rRNA from 1 species
GACAGAGGGGGCAAGCGUUGCUCGGAAUUACUGGGCGUAAAGGGCGCGUAGGCGGGAUGGCAAGUCGGUCGUGAAAUCCCUCGGCUCAACUGAGGAGCGUCGAUCGAAACUGCCGUUCUUGAGGGUUGCAGAGGAGACUGGAACUCCCGGUGUAGCGGUGAAAUGUGUAGAGAUCGGGAGGAACACCGGUGGCGAAGGCGGGUCUCUGGGCAACUCCUGACGCUGAGGCGCGAAAGCGUGGGGAGCAAACGGG